rnacentral:rRNA from 1 species
UAAACGCGAAGAACCUUACCAGGUCUUGACAUCUUCUGCUAACCUAAGAGAUUAAGCGUUCCCUUCGGGGACGGAAUGACAGGUGGUGCAUGGUUGUCGUCAGUUCGUGUCGUGAGAUGUUGGGUUAAGUCCCGCAACGAGCGCAACCCUUAUUGUCAGUUGCCAGCAUUUAGUUGGGCACUCUGGCGAGACUGCCGGUGACAAACCGGAGGAAGGUGGGGAUGACGUCAAAUCAUCAUGCCCCUUAUGACCUGGGCUACACACGUGCUACAAUGGACGGUACAACGAGUCGCGAAACCGCGAGGUCAAGCUAAUCUCUUAAAGCCGUUCUCAGUUCGGAUUGUAGGCUGCAACUCGCCUACAUGAAGUUGGAAUCGCUAGUAAUCGUGGAUCAGC